AUUAUUUCACUGAUUGGACCACAGUUUAAAACAACCCAAAUUGUAUCUACCAGCGAUAACAUUAGAACUAACAUAGUAUGGGAUGUAUUAGUUGUGAUUUUGUAGGUCUUAGUGGAUAGAUUAUUACAGCUAGUCCAAUUAAUAUUACUAUCUGUCAGGAUACUGUCUUGUACACGUAUAACUCAUACAAAAUGACACGUAACGUAAUGAACAUGAUUCAAGUUUUGUUUCUUGUAUCAACAGGUUGGUUUUAUUUAACAACAGCAAGGGCAACAAGACACCAGAUCUACCCACGUCCUACUUUCAAUGAAACUGAACAGAAUGUAACUGUGAGGGUUGGUGAUGAUGCCAGGUUGCCAUGUUCUGUUCAAAAUCUUGGUACCAAAGUG